UUUAACCCCUUCGUGACAAAGGCUGAUUUUACUUUUUGUACCCUUCGUGACAAUGGCUGUUUUAUCGUUUCUGCGGUGUUUGGCUUUCUUCAGACACCAAAAUUUUUUUCAUAUGAUGUAAUUUCCUAUAAUAAAAAUAAUAAAA